AGUGAACGCUGGCGGUAGGCCUAACACAUGCAAGUCGAACGGCAGCACAGUAAGAGCUUGCUCUUACGGGUGGCGAGUGGCGGACGGGUGAGGAAUACAUCGGAAUCUACUUUUUCGUGGGGGAUAACGUAGGGAAACUUACGCUAAUACCGCAUACGACCUACGGGUGAGAGCAGGGGAUCUUCGGACCUUGCGCGAUUGAAUGAGCCGAUGUCGGAUUAGCUAGUUGGCGGGGUAAAGGCCCACCAAGGCGACGAUCCGUAGCUGGUCUGAGAGGAUGAUCAGCCACACUGGAACUGAGACACGGUCCAGACUCCUACGGGAGGCAGCAGUGGGGAAUAUUGGACAAUGGGCGCAAGCCUGAUCCAGCCAUGCCGCGUGGGUGAAGAAGGCCUUCGGGUUGUAAAGCCCUUUUGUUGGGAAAGAAAAGCAGCAGGUUAAUACCCCGCUGUUCUGACGGUACCCAAAGAAUAAGCACCGGCUAACUUCGUG
rnacentral:rRNA from 1 species